GGCCCGUUAGCUCAGUUGGUUAGAGCGUCGUGCUAAUAACGCGAAGGCCCGGGGUUCGAUCCCCUCAGGGGCCA